GUCAAAUUCACACAAGAAUUUCUCCAUUUGCAGCUCUAUAUAUCACAAGGUCUCUGUCACGUUUAAUCUAUGGAGAAACCAUGCAACUCAUUAACAAAGCAUCUAUGCAAAUAAAAAGAAUCAAGCGUUUACAGAACUACUUACACUGUUUAGAUCUAAAAUUUUCAGAGUCAAGAAGUGCCAAUAUUAGUUUCUCUAGCCUCUUAGAACUUACAGUUGGUUUAACAGCAUUUGGACUCCCAUAUGCAACACAAGGAUCUUUGCCUAAAACAGUAUUGCCCACACACCAUCCGCCUGGAGUAAACCGCCCAUCCGAUCUCCUCAAAAGUUUUUCAUCAAUUUUGUUGAGAACUGGAUCAUCCUUAGCAAAUUCUCGAGCAAAAGGGGCACCACUUUCAACCAUUUCUUCAAAAUGUUCCAAAGCUAGAGAUAUUGGACGUUGCUUUGGAGGGUUAUCCCACUUUAUGUAAUGCAAGUCAUUAUUUACAGUAGUGUUUUGAUAAUCCUUGUGAUUGCACACAAGGGUAUGGAAAUAACCCUCUGGUGAUGACAGGAAAUUUGCAUAGUACAUGAGGAGAGUGCGGGGAAGAUUAUCCCAUCCCCAAACACAGAAUUCAAGAAAUGACCUUGUCAGCACCACCCAUUCAGAUCCUGAAAGAAGAUAAUAUUGUAGUCCAAGAUUAUAGGUAAAGCAUAACCGAAGCAUGCACUAUCUAUUUAUAAAAUACACAAAAUAAGCAAAAACAGUUUCAGUCAACACAAACUGUUCAGUUUAUAUUGUCUAUGCUUUGGUUGGUAUACACAAUAACAUAGAAAUAUAUAGAAUAGCUUAUUUUAUUUCUAUUAGUAUGAAAUCAAUAAAGUCACAAUCUCAACUUGGCUUUCAGAUGUGGAAUAGUUACUACAUAGAGUAAAUAUUCCACAAAUUUAUAGAAGAAGAAUUUCACACAUAAGUGAAGAAUUGCCAUUACAUAGUAAUAGAAUAACUAUUCUGCUUCUACUGUAUUCGAUUUUGCAAACCAAAUGAAACCUAAGCAAUUUUGUUUCAAAUUUAAUAACAGAAAUAAAUACAACACCAAGUAAGAAAAAAAUAGAUCAUCAUUGUGAAGUAGUUCUUACAAUCAAACUAGCAUAUAGUCAUGCAGGCAUAGGAUCUGUCAUUUUUAAGAUAUCAUGAACUCUAAUAGCCACAUGGAAAAACUGAAAUAUUUCUUUUUGAGGUAGUUUAUGCCCUACACUAAAUUGAGUUUGACAAGUAUAGGAAACUCCUCUCAUGCUUUUUAACUUAUAAUAAAUGAAGCAAUGUAAUCUCUUGAACGGAGAGGGAGAUUUAGUUGCAUAGCCAGUGUCAAAAGUGAAGUUCUUUUCAUUUGACAUAACUUGCUUUUGGUUUUGACCAAUAAUCCAUGAUCCACUAACAUAUCUAACAAAGUAUUAGAAAAACAGGAAUGGCAUCUUCCUUAAACUACAUUAACCAUCCCCAUGCAUCAACUUCCCAUUUAAGAAAUGCAGCCUAUUUAACUGAAAUGUUUUACCAACUCAACAUAAGCUACUAACAAACUUGAACUGUCUGAUAGAUGAUUCCAUAAAUUCAAAUAGAAAGAUAUGAAGAGAAUAUAAAACAUUCAUAAUACAGCUCUGAAAAUUAUUAGAAUAAGAGAACCACAAUGGAAAAAUCAAAUUAGAAAAGUGAAGAUAAGUGAUUUUGUGAUAUAAAGCUGAUGUGAAAGCAGUACCCAUAAAUAGCUUGAAAGAAGCAGGCAAGGACCUUUUCUCCUUGGCCCAAAAUACACCGGAUUUCUUAGAAUGAUAUAAUCCUGGAUCUAUAAUUAUAGGCCUUGCUCUUUGAUGCUCUUUCCAACCAAUAGUACUUGUGUGCUCAAGGAAAUUCAGAUCCCUAGGCAAGUAUGAGAAAAUAUGCAAGAUAUCUGAAACAAAAAGCGGACAGAUGGUCAGUCAAACAAUAUGAUUAUUUUCUGAAGUCAAAAGGAAUAUCAUAUGCAAGUAUCUGAAAUAAAUAUCUAGAGUUCUGCGCACUUGUAACAAAAUCCUGUAUCAAGGAAUAUAUUAAAGGCUUAUUUUCAAAGGAUUUUAAUGCCAAAAUAGUUAUUCAAGAAUCCUGUUUGGAGCCCAGAUGCAGGGAUCCUUUUAGAAUUACCAAACUGAGAUUAAUCACCCUUAAAGAAAAAUAAGCAUGCCAUUUAACAUGCUAAAACAGGUCACUAACAUCAAUACUUAACAUCAUCCUCACAGUCUCGAGUUGCACUCCAUGGAGAAGGCCAACAGCUUUUUUUCAAUUUUCAUUCUUCUGUUUUCGUUCAAUGGUGGGACUUCAAUAAAUUCUUACUCUAUGUCCUAGCAAUUCAAAACUGCGACCUCCAGCUCCAAGUCUGAAUCUCAAGUUUUAACUUCUCUGUUGACUGUUAUUUCCUUCAAGACUCUACUUUUACUAUUUAAAACCUUAGUUUCAUAGUUUUCCAGUAUUACACUAUCUGCUCUAUAGAAAUUGCUCUCAAAUGUAUAUCAGUUAUAAGAUGGUUUACAUUCCUCUGGCCAACCUAACAUUUAAAACAUUCAAAUUCUAGGUGUUAUGAAUUGCAAAUUACCAUUUAUUCUACACCCCUUUUUUUCAUUUCUUUCCCCACCUCACAAACACAAAAUUAAGCUGCCCAAUGAUCAGCAUUGGUUAAAAAAAAAAAUUUCAGGCUCUUGUGCCCAAUUCUCAAUUAGCAAAGUCUUAACCCAACUCCUAGAAAUCUGAAUUGCACAUUACCUUAUCUAGCAUUUAGAGCCAUGAUAUCACCUACAGAUUAUAGUAGAAUUCGCUAAAUAUAAAUCCCAUUUUCCAUGAACGCACCUGCCUACCAUCUUGACGCAUUAGAGGAUAAUCCGACGCGCUCAAAUUAACAAACCAAUCCCAAUCGCCGGCCUGCUUCAACAAAAUCGCAAUCGCAUGAAGCGUGCUAGCAAUCAUAGUUGGUCCUUUAUAAGUCACUAAAUCGGCCUUACCAAUCACCAUCACAUUCCCAAACAACCCAAUCACACCCUCCGAUUUCACAUACUUCGCAAGCUCCAGCCUCUCAGCAUCCGAUGCUUCAAGAUCGAGAUGCAGCAGAUAAUAAUUUCUCGGAUGAUACACCGCCUGAAGAAGUCGCUUCACUCGAGCAUUGUCGCCUUUGGUGCCGGAAAUCAAGUACGCGAAUCUCGGCAGUUUCGGAAGCCCAAAUUGGGCACCGAAAUUCCGAUGAGUAAAGCUAGAUUUCGGUUGAUUCGAAGAAUGACCAGCGAGGAUAGGUGAUUUAGAGUAGGCAAUCGUAAGAAUAAGUAAGAGAGAGGGUACGGCGAGUAUGAUUAAUGGCAUUAGACAUCUUCUUGGAUCCAGAGAGUAAGCUUUCAUCUUCAUUUGAAGAUGAAAGCAACGAAAAAUCGGGGGGCUUGUGAGAGUGGUGUGGUGGUGGGUUUUCGGUUGGUGAAUCCGUGUCGGCUUUGUCGGUUGAAGAUGAGUUCAGGUGGGUGAGGUUGUAGAGGGAAACCCAGAGCGUCUUUGAAUUUUU
rnacentral:misc_RNA from 1 species